UAGGCGUGUGCUACACAAGCUGGAUGGUGGAAAGGAUUUUAAGCACUGUCCACUCCCAAUAUGACAGGACAGCUGGAGCUGGAAGGGACCUCUGGGGAUUGUCUGGAGCAGAACACCCCUAUGAGCACAGCUGCCAGUCUGUGCUGCUGCAGAGGAUGGCAGGCACAGCUGUGCUGCUCUGUGUGACACACGGGUUGCUCCUCGUGUUACCCCUGGUGGGGCGAAGGCAGAAUGUUUACACUACCUUUACUGCCAAGUACUUUGUUAGAGACUUCCACAAACUCCCUCUCAAUGCAGGAGGAAUGGGCUGAUGCCUUCAGGACUACCUCCUAAUGCAUCUGGCUGUAGACUUGCCUCAAGAACCCAAUGAAUCGUGAGCUGCUGUUACAUAUUGGAUCCACCAUAUGAUUUUAUUCAAGUCCUUCAGGGAGGGGAGACUCAGUGAAUACCAGUUGUGGAAGACCACCUGAAUGGCUGCCUUGUCCUCCAGCAUAAUGAUAUAGAACCUCAGUUCAGUGUCCUGCACAGACUUGCUGAGGAGCCAUUAUUUUCUGUCAUCCAGAUUGCUGGUGAAGACUGGCCAUAGUGUUGUCACUUGAAGAAUGCCAUCUGUUAAUACCAGUUGAAUGUCUCAUUCAUUAUUAUCCUUCAAGCCUUAUAGGAUAGCUGAGAGCUUUUUUUCAGCCAGGUUGUUGUGCAUCCAUUCAGUCAAUGCCAUCCUAGAUUGGCCCAUAUGGAAGACAGUGCCAAAGACCAUGCUAGAACAAAAUAAGAGACAUCCACUGCUUCCCCCACCUUGUCCACUGAGCACAUCAUUCCAGUGCAGGUGAUAGCCACACCAGUCAGGUACAAUUUGUCUCUCUGAGAUACAUACUGGCUGUUACUAGCUACCUUCUUGUAUCUAGACAUGGCUCCUUUGUGGAUUUGCUCCAUAACAUUUCCAGGAAAAAUGUGUGGAUAUCUUUUGUAACACAUCUUCAUCUCUUCUUUGUCUAAUCCCUUUCAGAGUAAGUGGGUUGAUUACGUGUGUUGAAUUUGUGAGACCUUCAGCAUGAGCCUGUGCUGUUGGUUGAGGAAAUUUUUGUUAGGGAGUUGCUGAGCAGGCCAAACCCAGAAGCAAACUAAGCAGGACACUCCUAUUUUCCCUCUCUUGGGACUCCCUUUCUUCUCAGCCCCACCACCAAUGACAAUUUCCUGCCAUUGUUGCUGUGGUUUUUGUGUUACUUCAGAGCAGGAGCCCUAUAAGGAAGAGAUGGGAAGAGCGGGGGAAUGAGGCUGCCUGGACAGUACAGUAGGGUGUGCCAGGUCCUGGCCCUGGCAAAGAUUCAAAUAGCUGGAGAAAAAGGGAAUCAUAAGCAGGAAGAAAGGAUAAGGUCAGCUGCAUGGGAUGUUAGGGAUAGGCAUGGUCCUUUCUAGAGAGCACGAGUAGUUCAGUCAACAGAAAGGGCCAGGCAUUUGCCAAAAACCACAUUUGCACAAUGGCCUAGAGUGGUUUGAAUUCAGAGACAACAGCUGGGUUUCACGAGUUAUAACUUUGGUUCACAGGUAUCUGUGGUCAGGACUGAGGUCAGUGGUGCUGUUAGAGAAGGUAAGAAAGAAUGGCUGAAAAGCCACCAGGCCUGACUGUGGAACCCAAGCAGAACAAAUACUAGUGUGCCAAGCUGGCUUGCAUCUGGGUGGCUUGAGAUGUGUUCCUGCCACAGGGGCCUGGCUGCAGCCACAGCACCUGCUCCCAGCCAAGGCAGGUCUGUGACAGCCCCUGAAUCGCCCUUUGCUGUGGAAAACAAAACUCCUGGACACUGCUCAGUACGUGAUGGGCCAGCCUCACAGGUGGGGAUUCAUGGGGCCUUCACAACCAGAAAGACUCAGCAGAGCAGACACAUCCUUUGUGACUGAAAGUGAACCAUGGCAUUGCACUUGAGGAAAGAGGCAGCCCAGCAGUGGCUGGUGAUGACUCUGAAGGAACACUCAGGCAGGCAGCAUCGGGCAUGUCUUGCUAAUUGGAAGAAACUCCAGGAGGACUCCAGGGUCCCAAGGCAAGUGAGAGCACCUGCGCACUGCAGUCCUCCUACAUUAGUGAAACCUGAUUUGCUGGGUCACCCUCCUGGAGUGACACAAUAUCAUUUCGAGUUGUUUGCUUAUUACAGAGAUACAAUCAAAAGGUGUGGUGCCCUGAUUGGAGUCUAGCAAGAAAGUAACACUCUUAUUCACCCACCCACCCACCCACCUUUGGCAGAUGGUCUGAGGGUCUCUCCUUUGCUUCAUGACAGAAAGUGGUUGAUUCAUCCCCACCCAGCAGUAAUUAUGUGUUGCUGCCUACUGGAAGUUCCCAUGUUGGCAUCAGAGUGCUAAGCCUAGAACUCACUGCUAAGAUUAAUUGCAAAGUAAAAGCGUGAUUUCUUGAUGUCUGUGUUAUAUUCAGUUACUUAACACUCGGUAUCAUU